rnacentral:rRNA from 1 species
UACGGGGGGGGUAAGCGUUGUUCGGAAUUACUGGGCGUAAAGGGCUCGUAGGCGGCCAACUAAGUCAGACGUGAAAUCCCUCAGCUUAACUGGGGAACUGCGUCUGAUACUGGAUGGCUUGGAUUCGGGAGAGGAAUGCGGAAUUCCAGGUGUAGCGGUGAAAUGCGUAGAUAUCGGAAGGAACAUCAGUGGCGAAGGCGGCCAUCUGGACGGUGACUGACGCUGAGACGCGAAAGCGUGGGUAGCAAACAGG